ACAAGGACGGUAUGGUAAGUAGAAUGUGUUCGUUUCACUGAACUGUUGAAACAAGGACGGUAUGAUCCUAUGGCAAUUGAAGAACAAGUAGCAGUCAUCUACACUGGUGUUCGAGGCUACUUAGAUAAACUUGAUCCUUCUGCCAUCAACAAGUUUGAAAAGGAAUUCUUGCAACAUAUACGUGGCACCCAGAGGGACCUGCUUCACACAAUAGCCACAGAAGGAAUGAUCAGUGAAGAGAGUGAACCAAGCUAAAGAAAUUGGUUACAGACUUCUUACAAACCUUUCAGCCUUAAGAGAGAAUUAAAGCAAGUAGUUAAGAAAGCACCAUAAAUCAUUCUCAAAAAGUCAGUUAUGUAGAGGGAUCAAUCCUUUAACAAGUCUGGUUGCUGUAGCUGUAAUUAAAGUUAACCAUGAAUAUUAAAGAUAAACUUUCUGUGGGGUGAAGUGUUCAGGUUGAAAAACAAGCAAUUUUGUCACACAAGUUUUUUUGAAUUAAAGAACAUUUUAAGUGCUA